GGGUUGUAGUUCAGUGGAAGAGCACUUGCCUCGCAUGCAUGAGGCAAUGGGUUCAAUCCUCACUGCCACA
rnacentral:tRNA from 1 species